rnacentral:lncRNA from 1 species
CGUCCAUGUUAAAAUGUUAUUUUUUUUCUCUGUUGAGGCAUAUGUUAGAAAGACUCAUAUCGAAUGUACCAAAAUUUGGGUCCGACGUCCCUGAACUUUUCACUCUUUGAACUUCUUUUCUAAAAGGAUCAUUAUAUGAAUCUGUUAUUUUUCUUUACUGUUGAAGCAUAUGAUAAAAAGAUCAUAACAUGUCAUUUUUCAUAUCGCAUGUAUUAUCAG